CCAACGACCAAAGCAAAGGACAGCAGAACUGACUGACACAUUGCUCAGAAAAUAUCCAAAGCUCUGUAUGCUCUGGAAAGGAAGGCAAGAAAUACUAAAGACUCUGGAUAUUGCUCUGUUUCUAUAAGGUCCCACCCAUAUACCAUCUCUUCUUUUGGAUUUCCUUUGGCAGGGUUCCCUUGUAUGGAAGUUCUCAGGAGAACAACACUCUCAGAGUCCCAUUGUCUCAAAGAAUUCUUAAUGGACAGCUAUACUUGGCCCCAAGGUUUCAACCUCAGACUGAAGAAAGUGACAUAAGAAAACACAAGUCCCAGUGCUAUCAGGGGCUAUCUGGAAAAGCUGCUUAAACAGCAAGUGAAAGAAGGCUCUCCCCUACCCCGUUCUAGUUAUAAACAUCACAUCUCUUAACAUAUGGCCAAGAUGAUGAAGCUGAUGGAACUCACCCUGAAGUUAUUUGAAGGAUCCUUGAGACUCUUUUGGAUUGCUGCUUGGAGAACAUUCCUGUAACUUGUCCCUGCUCCUUGAACUAUAAAAGCAGAAGGGAGGUACUGAGUUAAAACUUAUAAAUUAUUAUCAAAUAAAUCUUCAAUAGUGGUUCA
rnacentral:antisense_RNA from 1 species